CCAGCUCCAAUAGCGUAUAUUAAAGUUGUUGCAGUUAAAAAGCUCGUAGUCGAAAUUUUGGCUGUGGUGCGUGGUGGGCUUUGCCUUACUGCGUGGUGCGGCCUUUAGCGGUGGCGCGUGGUGCACUUUGCUGUGCGGCAGGCGGCGACUGCGGGGUUACUUUGACGAAAUUAGGGUGUUCAAGGCAGGCUUUGGCCUGGAUAGAUUAGCAUGGAAUAACGGAAUAGGGCCAGUGUUCUAUUUUGUUGGUUGAGGACGUGGGCAAUGGUGGAUAGGGGCAGUUGGGGGCAUUAGUAUUCGGUAGUCAGAGGUGAAAUUCUUGGAUUUACCGAGGACUAACUAGUGCGAAAGCAUUUGCCAAGGAUGUACCCG
rnacentral:rRNA from 1 species